UACGGGGAAGGAUGAGAAGGUUCGACUCGAGCGUCAGCGAGAGAACGUUGCCGCAGGCAACGGCCCGAAGGGCGAGGAGCGAUAGCGACGAGUUAUCCUUCCCCCACUAC
rnacentral:sRNA from 1 species